ACAUUAAUUUAUUGCAUCAACAAAUAAUUAUAUAUUUGUGUUUUUGUUUUCAUACCAUACUGGUAUUUAGAGUAGUAGAAUACGUCCAUUAUCGUUACUGCUUAUCGAUAACUUACUUUGAUCAAAACAGUUGUAGUCGAGGCUAUUUCUGAGAAAUUUGUUGAAUUUGGUUUGCGAAAAAGUUUCCAAUUGUUUUGAAUGGAUUGCAGAAAUAUUUUGAAUUACCGGAAAUAUUGUGAGAAAAUCUUGUGACGUGACAGUCUGACACACCAGACAUACGCAAAUACGAGUAGAGAGGGUUUUGCCACUGCAGAAAAUUGAAAAGUUUGAAAUAU